rnacentral:ncRNA from 1 species
CUUAUUAAGAGUGGUGGAGGGAUCGGCCCUAUGAAACCCGGCAACCUGCAAAUGCAAGGUGCCAAAUCCGGCGGUGCAAAUCGAAAGAUGAGG